AAUAGGGUGCCUCACAAGGUUCUUCGUUAUAUUCCCAUUAUUCCACGUAUGGGUAUAUGCAUGAAGUUGUGGUACCAAAAAGGUGCCAUACUUUAAAAAAAAUAGAAAAUGCUCAUAAGGUGCACGCCUUAUAAGGCACGUGCCUUAUGAGCAUUUAAAACUUAAAAAAAAACCAUGUCCGCAUUUUGGAUGCAUUCUGCAUUCCCAAACCUGCAUUUUGGCAAUUUGGGGUGCCAUUUUCUUGCACUUACCCUUUGUUAAAGCUUGAUAUUGGGCACUAAGUUGUGCAUCUCUCAUCAAAAUGCCGCCACACCAUCGAAGAGCUCGAAGAGGUAUGUAUUUUUGUUUUCUUAUUGUCAUUUUUUAAUUAAUUUGAAGAUUAAACUAGGUUUAUUGAUUUAAAUUUAUUUUCAUUAUCAGUAAAUGAGAUUAGACAAGAAAAUGUUGAAAACACUCAAUCACCUCCUCAUGAAGACCAUAUUGAAGAAGAAGCACAUCAAGAACCUCCUACAAUCCCUGGACAUCCCAUAGGUACAUAAGAAAACCUAUUAGGUCAAAUAGAAAAUAGCCAAAAAGAGAUUGAAGGUUUAAUCACAAGGCUAAAAGAUCCCACUGGAACAAACUCCCAUAGGACAAACCUUGCCAGUUCUUUGCAAUCUAUUGUAUCUCACAUACAAUCUGUGAGUGGGCAAAUAAAUUUUUGGUCCAGUAAGAAGGAAGAACAAAAGCAAUUUUAUGCUGACAAAUUAUCAUAUGUGGCAGUGAAGAAAAAGAAAAUUAAUAAAUUUGACUUGUGUGCUCUUUUUACGGACCCCCAAAUGAAUCAACCUUUACACCCUGGAUGUAGGAGAUUCCCUAUUCAUUGGUGUCAUCAUGAAGGGAUUAAAAACAAUUUUUGGGUUAGGUGGUGGAUGGUAUUUGAUCAGCCCCCAUGCAAUAAUCAUGAGGUACCCCAAUACUUUUUGAGAAAACUGUACUGUGAGUUUGUCCUUAAUGAGAUCCCAAACUAUUUUGAUUUUCUAGAUUUCCAAGGUAGAGGUGGGGGUUCCUCACAUGAUAGAGAGAGUGCACAGUGUGACCCAAAUCUCCCACCAAGACCCUUGGCCGGACCUAUGGUGGAGCAUGUUUUAUUCCUUCCAUUGUGAAGAAGAGUAUUGAGGUCAAAAAUCUAGACUCCAUUAGCUCACUCACUCAGACCCUUAUAUAGUAUGCUAGGCCUCUAGUAGAGGGUGAUGCGAGUGAUGAUGGUGAUUCUUCUAGGCAUCGAGUUCCAUCUCAUUUUUGUCGAUCUUGUGGUUCUCUUUGCACUUAUGAUCCUAAUAGUUCUAAGAAUGCACGUGCAUGAGCGGAGUUUGCUACAGAGAAUAUUGUCAUGACAGAAUCCUUGCUGAAUGAAACAUUUGGCAUUGAUACCUAGGUGAAUUUCAUUACAAGUUCAUUUCAUUCUUUUUAUUAAAUCUUAUAUGUAAAUUUGAGAAUAUAUCUAAAUUAGUAAAUUAUUAUGAUAAAAAAUCAGGGUCAAAGUGUUCACAAUACUAGCAACAUUCCUGCAACACCCUUUUUCAUGACUUCGUUGACUCCACAGGUAUACAACGAGUGAAGAAAUAUAAUUAUUAUAUGUAGAUAGUUGAACCUUAUGUGAAUUAUUUUCUAAUUACUCAUUUUGGAUGUCAAAUAGUUUGAUGCUAGAGCUUCAACAUCAACACUUCAUAGUGUAUUUCAUCGACAAUCUUUCACCUAGAUGUUGACAUUAGAGACUCCUCCUGCUGUGUACGCAUCAAUGGAGCACGGUGUUGCUGCAGCAGUAGCAAGUUCAACUGCUUUAACAGAAGAGGGGCUUGUCACUCCAAAUCAUGAAUGUGCACCUGUUGUGGAUGAAAAUCAUGAUUAUUUGUAUGCGUGGAGUUACAAAAAAGUCUGGAGAGGAGGUUGAGUGGUCGUACUCGAAAGACACUUGCAUCAUAUACAUCUCCAUUCCCUUGAUAGGCAAAUAUAUCUCGUGAUCUGUUUCCUUCCCCUAGAGGGAAAUGAAUAGAAUAGGGUCCUAUGUUGUAUGCCUAUAUGGGAAUUUUGAACAUAUGUUUUGUAUUACAAAUAUGUGACAUUUUAUGUCCAUAUGGCUUUUGGCAAGCUCCUAUUUGACUUUAUUGGAUACCAUGUUGUAUGCCUAUAUGGCAAUUUUGAACAUAUAUUUUGUAUUACAAAUAUGUGACAUUCUAUGUCCAUAUGGCUUUUGGCAAGCCCCUAUUUGACUUUAUUAGAUAUCAUGUUGUAUGCCUUUA